GUUGACCUCAAAUCAGGUAGGACUCCCCCACAC
rnacentral:rRNA from 1 species